CCUACGGGAGGCAGCAGUGAGGAAUAUUGGUCAAUGGGCUUACGCCUGAACCAGCCAAGUCGCGUGAGGGAAGACUGCCCUAUGGGUUGUAAACCUCUUUUGUCAGGGAGCAAAGCCGGCUACGUGUAGCCUGCCGGAGAGUACCUGAAGAAAAAGCAACGGCCAACUCCGUGCCAGCAGCCGGGGUAAUACGGUGGAUGCGAGGGGUAUCCGGUUUUAUGGGGUUUAACGGGGGCGUAGGGGGAAUGCCAAGUCCGCGGUAAAAUCGCGGGGCUCAACCUCGCUCCGCCGUUGAAACUGGCGUUCUUGAGUGGGCGAGACGUAUGCGGAAUGCGUGGUGUAGCGGUGAAAUGCAUAGAU
rnacentral:rRNA from 1 species